UACAGAGGUGGCGAGCGUUAAUCGGAAUUACUGGGCGUAAAGCGCGCGUUAGGCGACUUUGGCAAGUCGGGUGUGAAAUCCCCAGGCUUAACCUGGGAAGCUGCAUUCGAGACUGCAUUGCUAGAGUAUGGGAGAGGGAAGUGGAAUUUCCGGUGUAGCGGUGAAAUGCGCAGAUAUCGAGGAGACACCCGUGGCGAAGGCGGCUCUCUGGGACGGUACUGACGGCUGAGAGCGAAAGCGUGGGGGAGCGAAACAGG
rnacentral:rRNA from 1 species